GACGAACGCUGGCGGCGUGCCUAAUACAUGCAAGUCGAGCGGACGAUUCGAAAGCUUGCUUUUGAAUCGUUAGCGGCGGACGGGUGAGUAACACGUGGGCAACCUGCCCUGUAGACGGGGAUAACACCGAGAAAUCGGUGCUAAUACCGGAUAACACGAAGUGUCGCAUGACGUUUCGUUGAAAGGCGGCGCAAGCUGCCGCUACAGGAUGGGCCCGCGGCGCAUUAGCUAGUUGGUGAGGUAACGGCUCACCAAGGCGACGAUGCGUAGCCGACCUGAGAGGGUGAUCGGCCACACUGGGACUGAGACACGGCCCAGACUCCUACGGGAGGCAGCAGUAGGGAAUCUUCCGCAAUGGACGAAAGUCUGACGGAGCAACGCCGCGUGAGCGAAGAAGGCCUUCGGGUCGUAAAGCUCUGUUGUUAGGGAAGAACAAGUAACGUAGUAACUGACGUUACUAUGACGGUACCUAACGAGAAAGCCACGGCUAACUACGUG
rnacentral:rRNA from 1 species